ACCAUCAUCCGCUGGCAGCAGUAACACCCACAUAUCUGCUGCUGCUCUUGGUCGGCUCACUAUGCUUUCAAAGGAAUGGACUCUAUCUUGAUAAGAAUGGGAGGUCAGGAAAAAGAGUAGCUGAGAAACUGAUGCCUGUUCCAAAUACAAAAUCAAAUACAAAGCAAGCGGGUCAUUCUAAAAUGUGAAGCCAGCUGUGACCAAGGGAGGUGACACAAGCCUGUGGAAAGCUGGGAAAGAUUCAGAAAAAAACAGUCAUUGGGGGACAGACAAAUGAAAUCAACUACAGACAAUAACAAGGACAGAUGUGGCAAGAGCUCAUGAAUUAGUAAUAGAACAAAUUAAUAUGAUUAAGUCAUUUCUUUGGGCCUAGAG